GACGAACGCUGGCGGCGUGCUUAACACAUGCAAGUCGAACGGAAAGGCCCCGCUUUUGUGGGGUUCUCGAUUGGCGAACGGGUGAGUAACACGUGAGUAACCUGCCCUUGACUUUGGGAUAACUUCAGGAAACUGGGGCUAAUACCGGAUAGGAGCUCCUGCAGCAUGGUGGGGGUUGGAAAGUUUCGGCGGUUGGGGAUGGACUCGCGGCUUAUGAGCUUGUUGGUGGGGUAGUGGCGUACCCAGGCUUUGACGGGUACCCGGCCUGAGAGGGUGACCGGCCACAUUGGGACUGAGAUACGGCCCAGACUCCUACGGGAGGCAGCAGUGGGGAAUAUUGCACAAUGGGCGGAAGCCUGAUGCAGCAACGCCGCGUGCGGGAUGACGGCCUUCGGGUUGUAAACCGCUUUCGCCUGUGACGAAGCGUGAGUGACGGUAAUGGGUAAAGAAGCACCGGCUAACUACGUG
rnacentral:rRNA from 1 species